GAUGAACGCUGGCGGCGUGCCUAAUACAUGCAAGUCGAGCGAACGGACGAGAAGCUUGCUUCUCUGAUGUUAGCGGCGGACGGGUGAGUAACACGUGGAUAACCUACCUAUAAGACUGGGAUAACUUCGGGAAACCGGAGCUAAUACCGGAUAAUAUUUUGAACCGCAUGGUUCAAAAGUGAAAGACGGUCUUGCUGUCACUUAUAGAUGGAUCCGCGCUGCAUUAGCUAGUUGGUAAGGUAACGGCUUACCAAGGCAACGAUGCAUAGCCGACCUGAGAGGGUGAUCGGCCACACUGGAACUGAGACACGGCCCAGACUCCUACGGGAGGCAGCAGUAGGGACUCUUCCGCAAUGGGCGAAAGCCUGACGGAGAAACGCCGCGUGAGUGAUGAAGGUCUUCGGAUCGUAAAACUCUGUUAUUAGGGAAGAACAUAUGUGUAAGUAACUGUGCACAUCUUGACGGUACCUAAUCAGAAAGCCACGGCUAACUACGU
rnacentral:rRNA from 1 species